UUUAAGCAAGCAUUUCUCUUUAUUGCUCUCUUUGUUGCAAUUUCAGUUAAUCUGUCUUGGGCUCCGAAUAAGAUGCAAGUGAUGGCAUUACGAGACUUACCCGUUAAUGUUGCAGAGAUGAAAGGGAAAUUAUUUGAUACUAGUACUUGCGGGAAACGUUGCAACACCCGUAGUGAAUGUCAAGAAGGUUUUAUUUGUUCAAAUUGUGUUACAUUUGCGAAUUUGUUUUCUCAAUGUGUAUAACACAAGUGCACUAUUACUGAUGAAAUACUCUUAUCGUGUUUCCAAGUUUGUGUAAGAAAAAUAAAUAUGUAACCUUAUAAGUUUUCCAUAUAUUGGAAAACUACAUAUUGAAAUAUAUAUAGGUUACAACUUAUAAA